rnacentral:rRNA from 1 species
GAUGAACGCUGGCGGCGUGCCUAAUACAUGCAAGUCGAGCGAACGGACGAGAAGCUUGCUUCUCUGAUGUUAGCGGCGGACGGGUGAGUAACACGUGGAUAACCUACCUAUAAGACUGGGAUAACGUCGGGAAACCGGAGCUAAUACCGGAUAAUAUUUUGAACCGCAUGGUUCAAAAGUGAAAGACGGUUUUGCUGUCACUUAUAGAUGGAUCCGCGCUGCAUUAGCUAGUUGGUAAGGUAACGGCUUACCAAGGCAACGAUGCAUAGCCGACCUGAGAGGGUGAUCGGCCACACUGGAACUGAGACACGGUCCAGACUCCUACGGGAGGCAGCAGUAGGGAAUCUUCCGCAAUGGGCGAAAGCCUGACGGAGCAACGCCGCGUGAGUGAUGAAGGUCUUCGGAUCGUAAAACUCUGUUAUUAGGGAAGAACAUAUGUGUAAGUAACUGUGCACAUCUUGACGGUACCUAAUCAGAAAGCCACGGCUAACUACGUG